AUUGAACGCUGGCGGCAGGCCUAACACAUGCAAGUCGAGCGGAUGAAGGGAGCUUGCUCCUGGAUUCAGCGGCGGACGGGUGAGUAAUUCCUAGGAAUCUGCCUGGUAUUGGGGGAUAACGUCCGGAAACGGGCGCUAAUACCGCAUACGUCCUGAGGGUGAAAGUGGGGGAUCUUCGGACCUCACGCUAUCAGAUGAGCCUAGGUCGGAUUAGCUAGUUGGUGGGGUAAAGGCCUACCAAGGCGACGAUCCGUAACUGGUCUGAGAGGAUGAUCAGUCACACUGGAACUGAGACACGGUCCAGACUCCUACGGGAGGCAGCAGUAGGGAAUAUUGGGCAAUGGGCGGAAGCCUGACGCAGCCAUGCCGCGUGAGUGAAGAAGGUCUUCGGAUUGUAAAGCUCUUUAAGUUGGGAGGAAGGGAAGUGAAUUAAUACCUUGCUGUUUUGACGGUACCAACAGAAUAAGCACCGGCUAACUUCGUG
rnacentral:rRNA from 1 species